UACGUAGGUGGCGAGCGUUGUCCGGAUUUACUGGGCGUAAAGGGUGCGCAGGCGGCACGGCAAGCCGGCGGUCAAAUCGCGGGGCUCAACCCCGCCCAGCCGUCGGAACUGCCGGGCUAGAGUGGGCGAGAAGUGCGCGGAAUGCGUGGUGUAGCGGUGAAAUGCAUAGAUAUCACGCAGAACUCCGAUUGCGAAGGCAGCGCACCGGCGCCCUACUGACGCUCAGGCACGAAAGCGUGGGUAUCGAACAGG
rnacentral:rRNA from 1 species